rnacentral:rRNA from 1 species
UACGUAGGAUGCAAGCGUUGUCCGGAAUUAUUGGGCGUAAAGAGCGCGCAGGCGGUCUAUCAAGUCAGAUGUGAAAUAUCCCGGCUUAACCGGGAGGGGUCAUUUGAAACUGGUAGACUAGAGUACAGCAGAGGAUAGCGGAAUUCCCGGUGUAGUGGUGAAAUGCGUAGGUAUCGGGAGGAACACCAGUGGCGAAGGCGGCUAUCUGGGCUGAAACUGACGCUGAGGCGCAAAGGCUAGGGGAGCAAACAGG